UGGCCUUCAUGUAUAUAGGAAGGUUUGCAAGUAAAUAAACCAUUUACAACCAAUUGUCCUAGUCAAUGGGAGCCAUCAAGAUUCUAAACCACCAUUAAUGGUCCACACUUUGCAUAAUGAUAAUAGGACCUCAGUUAUACUUCACAUUUCUAAAAAAAAAAAGGAGUACUUGUGGCAUUUUAGAGACU